rnacentral:lncRNA from 1 species
CAAUUUCCAGCGACUUUCAAGAAAAGUUCAAUGCCUCUGUAGAGAACUUCCUUAUGCUUUCCCCUAUACAGACGGAAUUCGACGAGAUAGAUCGCAACGACUUGGGUAGGAUCAAGAAGAUAAACUUCUUGGAAUCAGCUGUACUCGCUACGCAUUACCCCAACGUUACAAGCAUGGGCAUCCUCGGCAGCCUGAGUCCGUACGAUGGAGUCUUUGGGGCAGGG